rnacentral:rRNA from 1 species
UACGUAGGGUGCAAGCGUUAAUCGGAAUUACUGGGCGUAAAGCGUGCGCAGGCGGUUUUGUAAGUCUGAUGUGAAAUCCCCGGGCUCAACCUGGGAAUUGCAUUGGAGACUGCAGGGCUAGAAUCUGGCAGAGGGGGGUAGAAUUCCACGUGUAGCAGUGAAAUGCGUAGAGAUGUGGAGGAACACCGAUGGCGAAGGCAGCCCCCUGGGUCAAGAUUGACGCUCAUGCACGAAAGCGUGGGGAGCAAACAGG